GACGAACGCUGGCGGCGUGCCUAAUACAUGCAAGUAGAACGCUGAAGGAGGAGCUUGCUUCUCUGGAUGAGUUGCGAACGGGUGAGUAACGCGUAGGUAACCUGCCUGGUAGCGGGGGAUAACUAUUGGAAACGAUAGCUAAUACCGCAUAAGAGAAGAUGUUGCAUGACAUUCGCUUAAAAGGUGCAAUUGCAUCACUACCAGAUGGACCUGCGUUGUAUUUGCUAGUUGGUGGGGUAACGGCUCACCAAGGCGACGAUACAUAGCCGGCCUGAGAGGGUUGUCGGCCACACUUGGACCGAGACACGGCCCAGACUCCUACGGGAGGCAGCCGUAGGGAAUCUUCGGCAAUGGACGGAAGUCUGACCGAGCCACGCCGCGUGAGUGAAGAAGGUUUUCGGAUCGUAAAGCUCUGUUGUAAGAGAAGAACGAGUGUGAGAGUGGAAAGUUCACACUGUGACGGUAUCUUACCAGAAAGGGACGGCUAACUACGUG
rnacentral:rRNA from 1 species